rnacentral:rRNA from 1 species
CUAAAGUAUUAAUAGUUAUAUUCUUUAAACUUAAAAAAUUUGGCGGUAUUUUAGUCUGUUCAGAGGAACCUGUUUUGUAAUCGAUAAUCCACGUUGUACCUUACUUAAGUUUAUUUAUUAGUUUGUAUACCGUCGUUAUAGAAAAUUUUAUAAGAAUAAUAAUUUUCAAUAAAUUUAAUAAAAUUAUAUAUCAGAUCAAGGUGCAGCAUAUAUUUAAGUUAAUAAUGGGUUACAAUAAAAUAAUUUAUAUGGAUAUAAAUAUGAAAAAUUUAUUGAAAGUGGAUUUGAAAGUAAAAUUAUAUAGAUUAAUAAUUUGAUUUUAGCUCUAAAAUAUGUACAUAUCGCCCGUCACUCUUAUUAUUAAGAUAAGAUAAGUCGUAA